rnacentral:rRNA from 1 species
AGCGAACGCUGGCGGCAGGCUUAACACAUGCAAGUCGAGCGGGCGUAGCAAUACGUCAGCGGCAGACAGGUGAGUAACGCGUGGGAACGUACCUUUUGGUUCGGAACAACACAGGGAAACUUGUGCUAAUACCGGAUAAGCCCUUACGGGGAAAGAUUUAUCGCCGAAAGAUCGGCCCGCGUCUGAUUAGCUAGUUGGUGAGGUAACGGCUCACCAAGGCGACGAUGAGUAGCUGGUCUGAGAGGACGAUCAGCCACAUUGGGACUGAGACACGGCCCAAACUCCUACGGGAGGCAGCAGUGGGGAAUAUUGGACAAUGGGCGCAAGCCUGAUCCAGCCAUGCCGCGUGAGUGAUGAAGGCCCUAGGGUUGUAAAGCUCUUUUGUGCGGGAAGAUAAUGACGGUACCGCAAGAAUAAGCCCCGGCUAACUUCGUGCCAGCAGCCGCCGCCG